rnacentral:rRNA from 1 species
GAUGAACGCUGGCGGCGUGCUUAACACAUGCAAGUCGAACGAAGCACUUUAUUUGAUUUCCUUCGGGACUGAUUAUUUUGUGACUGAGUGGCGGACGGGUGAGUAACGCGUGGGUAACCUGCCUUGUACAGGGGGAUAACAGUUGGAAACGGCUGCUAAUACCGCAUAAGCGCACAGCAUCGCAUGAUGCAGUGGGAAAAACUCCGGUGGUAUAAGAUGGACCCGCGUUGGAUUAGCCAGUUGGUGAGGUAACGGCCCACCAAGGCGACGAUCCAUAGCCGACCUGAGAGGGUGCCCGGCCACAUUGGGACUGAGACACGGCCCAAACCCCUACGGGAGGCAGCAGUGGGGAAUAUUGCACAAUGGGCGAAAGCCUGAUGCAGCGACGCCGCGUGAGCGAAGAAGUAUUUCGGUAUGUAAAGCUCUAUCAGCAGGGAAGAUAAUGACGGUACCUGACUAAGAAGCACCGGCUAAAUACGUG